rfam:Schistosoma mattheei strain Denwood, Zambia genome assembly, scaffold: SMTD_scaffold0000655
AGUUUUUUGAAUCCGUGAAGAGAUUUCUCCAAACAUCAACCAACCAAGGCUGGUGAAACAUUCAAGGUAAGUGAAGCG